rnacentral:rRNA from 1 species
CAAUAGCGUAUAUUAAAGUUGUUGCGGUUAAAAAGCUCGUAGUUGGAUUUCUGCUGAGAACGACCGGUCCGCCCUCUGGGUGUGUAUCUGGCUCUUUCUUGGCAUCUUCUUGGUGAACGUUGCUGCACUUGACUGUGUGGAGCGCUACCCAGGACUUUUACUUUGAGGAAAUUAGAGUGUUUCAAGCAGGCAUACGCCUUGAAUACAUUAGCAUGGAAUAAUAAGAUAGGACCUCGGUUCUAUUUUGUUGGUUUCUAGAGCUGAGGUAAUGAUUAAUAGGGAUAGUUGGGGGCAUUCGUAUUUAACUGCCAGAGGUGAAAUUCUUGGAUUUGUUAAAGACGGACUACUGCGAAAGCAUUUGCCAAGGAUGUUUUCAUUGA